CUCUCCUUCUCUCUCUCUCGCUCUCUCUCUCAUAUAUAUAUAUAUAUAUAUAUAUAUAUAUAUGAGAGAGAGAGCGAGAGAGAGAGAAGGAGAG
rnacentral:miRNA from 1 species